rnacentral:rRNA from 1 species
GUGCCAGCCGCCGCGGUAAUACAGAGGGUGCGAGCGUUGUCCGGAAUCACUGGGCGUAAAGGGCGUGUAGGCGGCUGGGUAAGCCGCGUGUGAAAUCCCGGGGCUCAACCCCGGAACGGCACGCGGGACUGCUCGGCUCGAGCAUGGUAGAGGCGAGUGGAAUUCCUGGUGUAGCGGUGGAAUGCGUAGAGAUCAGGAAGAACACCGGUGGCGAAGGCGGCUCGCUGGGCCAUUGCUGACGCUGAGGCGCGAAAGCGUGGGGAGCAAACAGGAUUAGAUACCCCAGUAGUCC